CCCAUAAUUCUUUUCUCCUUCCUCUCUCUUCACUCUCUCUUUCUCCAUAACCGCCGCCGGAAAUCGCCCACCGGCGGCCGACCACCUCCAAAUCACCCCAAAAUCGCACCAUACAAUCUCCACAACCUCCUUUUUACAUAUCUCUAAAUGAAAUCCUUAACAAAACCCUCAAACUCCUUGAAUUUUAGAUCUAGGAAACUUUAGCCGCAACUUUUUGCCUAAAUUUUUGAAGUUCCGGCCACUAACACUCCACAACACCUACAUCAACGGAUAGAGCUCCUCAAGACCUACCUAUUGAAGUCAAUUCUACACCAAAAAUCCAGCGACCAAAAAUCUGGCCGAAUUCCCGCGACCUCCCUGAACGCCCUCGUUUGGCAUGCCACCAUUUUUCGGCCACUUGAAUUUUAAAAUGGUAAAAAUACUAUUCUUUUUUCAUGGUUGAUUUGUUUUAUUAUUUUUUUCAGAUUUUUAUUUUUGCCUCUUAUUAAUUAUUUUAGCAUUAGUUUUUGAAGUUUUGAAGUGCUAAAUUUUCUAUUUUUGCAUUUGUUGAAGUAGUAGAAUAGUUUUAGAGUACUUGAGUGUAGGGUCCGUGUUUGGUUGCUUUCAUUGUUUGAAGUAUAAUACUCUAAAAAUCUGUCCCUAGUUGGUAAAAGAAGACUGUUUCUUGGACAGAUUUUUGGUUUUGGAUAGAUUUUCUGUCAAAAAAAUUAUCAUUUUGGACAAAUUUUUGGAAAAACAAAAUUUGUCCCAAAGUCCUUUCUCCUUCUAUAUAAAGAGGAGUUCUUUCCUCAUCUUACACAUAUCUUGGACUCUAGAAAGACACAUCUUUUAAACACUCUAUCACACAUCUGCUAUGCAUUUUUACACACUAAAAAUACACUUUUAGCAGUAAAAAUCAGCAGCUGAACUUAAAGAAAGCAAGCUGAAAUUGUGAGCUUUAUGAGUGCUUCUUAGAGUAAAAACUCUAAAAAAGAAUAAGUCUUUUAGAGUUGAUUCCAGGUUUCUUCUCUAAGGUUUUGGGGCUAUCUAGAUACAAGUUUGCUAAUGUCGUUGCUCGUUUUCAUUGCUGUUUUUCUACUAUUUUGCUGUUGUUUCUGCUCAUCUCAUUGCUGUAUUUUUAUUCUGCAAAUCAAGUAAUUCCUAUGUCUUUAUAUUGCAGAUUUUUGAUAAUAAUAAGAAGAUUCGAACUUGUCCGGAUGGCUGAAGCAUGUUGUACUUGGUGUUUACUUAAGAAUAAAUAUUGUACCUAUGUAUAAAAACAUGUAAAUAUGCAGUAGUUAUGGCUUUUAGAAGAUAACUCUCUACUUAUUGUUGUCUAGUUGUUGAAAGUCAAUUUCUCACCUUAAUGCACUUAAAAGUCUUUAAUUUACUUUAGGUGAGCAUGUUGUAGAUAUGAUCUAAUUUCUUUUGUUUACUGUGUUCACACCUUUAUUAGCUUGCUUUGGCAUUUCUUUGCUUAGUUAAUUUGUAAACCUUUCCUUGAAGUUAUUCUUCGAAUAUAAAAAU
rnacentral:lncRNA from 1 species